GAUGAACGCUGGCGGCGUGCUUAACACAUGCAAGUCGAACGUGAGGGUGUAGCAAUAUGCCUGAAAGUGGCGAACGGGUGAGUAACACGUAGGUAACCUGCCUUGAAGCGGGGGAUAACGGCUGGAAACGGCUGCUAAUACCGCAUAUUGUGAGUGGAGUGGGAACUUCACUUGUGAAAACUUUGGUGCUUCAAGAGGGGCCCUGCGUCCGAUUAGCUAGUUGGUGGGGUAAGAGCCCUUACCAAGGCGAUGAUCGGUAGCUGGUCUGAGAGGACGAUCAGCCACACGGGAACUGAGAAACGGUCCCGAUCCUA
rnacentral:rRNA from 1 species